UUAACAAAGUUAGUAGCCGCGGCUCAAGUUGUUCAUAAUUCGUUGAGUUCAACUGCGAAAUUUAUUGUUUUUAUUUACCAUAAUUGCAAAUGAAAUAAAUAGUGUAAGAAGUCAUAGAAAAAUGUGCAAGCAAUUAUAUUUAGAAAAUAUUAAUGCUUGAGCUUAUCCAAACGCGUGUGUGCGGAUGCAUAUAUAUUAUAUAUACUUAUUUACGAUGCAUAAAAAUAAAAACUUAUUUACAUACAUAUAUUAAUUUUAUUUGCCACACUGCCUGCCUGCCGGUUGCAUACAUAUUUGGCUGUGGCGGCGCCAUCGCUGCAAUUGCUGCGUUUGGUAGUGGCAUGUGAUGGCUCAGCAGCAAUGAUGAAACGCUAUAAUGGCAACCGCAGCUAAUGAAAAAAAUGCUUAAAAUGUUUCGCAUUACGUUUAUUGCAACAAUUUUAGCGGCGCUGCAGCAGCAGCAGCAAAAAAUGGAGAAAUACGCCACACCAACAACAAAAAAAGCAAUCAAAUGCGAAAUAACUGCGCCUUGGCUCAAUGGCGGGCGCCUGGAGAAAUGGUUUUUGAGUUGAAUGGCGGCGGUACACUGUGACAGUGUGUCAGUGUUGAUAUUAUUGGCACUAAAAAAAAUAUUGAAAACUUAAUAUUUGGUUGUCAUGGCAAUCCACUCCUGCGACACACUGCAGUAUCCUGGUACGGUUGGAAUCAUUCCAGCAAAACUGCGGAUAUGGUAUAAGCUACACAUACGGUGGAUAAAGGCGUUUUGUAGCGCUAUGUGUCGGCCUCAUGUAGAGAGGCACGCGUAGUUUCUUAAUGUCGCAGUCACGUAGAAAGAACUCAACCUUAUAAUAUCUUAAACCAUCACGACAGGUUGGCAGUACCACCUGGCAGCUUGUCCAAAGCACAACACGGUUAUACAAACGGCAGAACCGUAGAGACUUCACUAUCGAAAAUGUUAUUUAUCAUCGAAAGAGCUCUUAAAUAUAAAGAAAACACUAUUGGAAUGCUCUUCGAAAUGUUUGUAAUAUUCAAUAACAUUCCUACGGAAUCUAUUCUGAACAGUAACCAAAUAACGAGGUGUUGAUUCUGCUACACAAUGUGUCAGAAACCUAUGAAUCUCUCGAAGGGUAAAAGCAAAAAGCAACGAUGCUAAAAUUAUUAAGGAAGCAGUGGCGCUCCACAGACUGGAGUGAUAUUUCCGUUCCUAAGGACAUUAGGGGUGAACAAACUGUUCAGAAACUUAGACGACAAUGCCUCCAACAUAGUACAAUAUGCAGACAACAUUGUCAUCUUAAUAACGGAAAGGUCUCUACAGUCAUUAGUAAUAUUAUGACCGUCACUAUCAAUACUGCUCAGAAUUGGAUAUCUGCCUUUUUCUAUUAAAAAAUACAAAAUACCUCCAUGGAAACUCCCUUCCAAAAAUGGAUCUCUACUUGCUCUCAUUUAUUAUCCCAAGUUCCUUAGGGUAGUCUGGGACAGUAAACUGCUGUUGAAGCGCAAAAAAGAAUAAGUUAGGCCAGCAAAGCGUUAUAUGCAUGUACACAAAUCCUCGACACUACCGGGAGAGCAUUUUUCCUCUCUCAUGUACUGGUGCUACCCAGCAGUGUCAAAACCAAUAUUUUUCUACAGGCAAAUGGAAAUCUACCUAUUGAGAAGCGGAAGUUUGGCUGUGCAUAACAAGAGCUUUAAGGACCACCCCAACGGCGAUACUAAAAUAGCCACCAAUAGACCAUUUGUGUGGUAAAAUCGGCAGGACGUCUACUGGCUGUAGGAGAAGCUACUUAGUGAAUUUUCGGGCAUAACUCAGUUGGUUAUGGCAGAUUGGUAGGCACAUACCACAUGAUCUCGCAUUUCAUCUUUGAAAGAAUAUUCAAGGUAAUGUUAGAAAGUUGGCGUAAAGGUAUGGUAGUCGGGCGGAAUAUAUUAAAAAUUUUUCAAGGUUGCUCGCAUACCGGCGAGAAGUGUCUUUAAAGGCAGAGUUGCAGCGAAGAGUGUCGCCAGAAACAAGCGACUUAACUUUACUGGGUCGCAGGUCACAAAUUCAAUGAAAUAGUAGAAAAGGUCGUCAGGACUGAUCGGGUAUCGUCCGAUAACGCCACCGAUACUGGAAAACCCAUACACAAAGUUCAUAUUUCUGAUCUUAAUGAAGCAUAAAAAGAUCCCAAAUAUCGAUAAGCUUGAUUUUCUCUCAAAGAAAAUUCUUAUAUUUGUAAUUAUUGAGAAUGCGAAAAUACAUAUUCAGCAUUCGAUAGAUUAUUUAGUGUGAUAAAUGUUGUUUGACUUUAAUUUUAUAUAAGUAUUUUAAAAUUAAUAUCACCACAAUUGAGAACCAUUUGACCUCGUUUGAUCUCAUAGCCACUAAAGAAGCGUCCAGAAAUACAACAAAGUAUAUUUCGAUUAGCACCACUGUGCAAGCAUAUUGCAUUUAUAUUUCUGCAAUAGCAAUUGCCACCGCCAUGAAAACAAUCAUGCAAAUUAAAACAAAAAAAAAACAACAAUAACGCUAGAAAUAAAAUGCGGAAAAGGAGAAACGGAAAUUCACCAAAAAAGUAGACGAAAUCCAUUCAAAGUGAAUGAGAAUACAAAAUGCAUUUUCAACUGGUUGGCGGCAAGCAAUUUCAAAUUGCCACUACAAAAAUGUGGCAACAUUGCAGCUAUGUGGCACACACUACGGGGUGCUAACGGUGCCAAAGGCAGCACUAAAAACUACAAAUAGUGCAGCAGUAGUCGUUGUAGCUAUUACCAGCCAUAUUACCUUGCAGCGCCAUGACAUUUGGUCAUUAUGCCGCAAGUAUGUGGUAAAUACCAAAAAAAAAACAAAAACAACAAAAUUAAAGGCUGAAAACCCCCAUCAAUACAAAAACAAAUGCAGUGCAAAAACAGCUAAUGCCAUGACACCAAAAGCCGCACGAAACUACAUCGGCCAGUUGACUGGCCAAUCGGUCAGCCGGCCAGGAAAAAAGCGUCCACCGACCAGCAACCAGCGACCAGCGGUCACAAGCCGCUGAAAAUGGCCAAAUAAAUCAAAAGUGUGCGCACAACCGUUAGUACGGCCGCGGCAGUACGCCGCAGACACCCCACAAGUUGCACAGUUGCGCGUAACCGCCACCAUGCAACGCCGGUACAUUGUUUUUGCUAUUGCCAUGUUGCAUUUGCAUAUGCAGCCGUGGCAGUUGCAGCGGUAGCGACAUUCUACAUGCAAAUACCUGGCAACAAUCGCAGCGUUACAAUCUCAAAGUGAGCGGAAAAAGACCAACAACUGCCAACAGCGUAUCGCCAGCGCGAGACCAGCGUCACCAACUGCGAACACUGCUGCCCUGCUAUGUGUUGCACCCCGCCACCUGCGAAGGCCUAGCACCACUAUUCAAGCGCACCGCCGGAAGUGCUAAGUCGAAAUUAUUUUUUAGUGGCAACAGAAAUACUUAGCAACGCAAAAAAUUUCGCACACACACACACACGCACACAUUCUUCAUUUGCUUGCAUACUUACAGACAUAUUUACUUGCAACUGCUUGUAUUUACACGCUUAUAAGGAGUUAUACGCGCAUUGCAUGCUUGUCGGUCCGAUUUCGCGAGUGGCAAAUGCAAAUGUGUAACGCGGCGGUGGUGGUGGCGGCAACGACGCGGUGAGUUGACUUCAUAAGCGCUGCUAAAGUGGCCUAUCGCAAGCGAUCUGCCAGCAAAUGUUGUAAAUGCAACGCGGAAUGUUUUCUUUAUUUUUAUCAUGAAAUACUAUUUUUGCCAACAUUAAACAGUUAUGUAUGCAUAUGUAUGUAUAGGUAUGAUAUGUAUAUUGUUAGUCCUUAUAUUGCCAAGGUAAUUGAGUAAAAAUUGAAAUAUCUUGAUAAAAGCCGUCAUGUGGCAAGUACUCGUACAGUGGGUGUUGGCUUGAGUCUACCACACUAGAAGUGCGUCAAUAUUAAAGGCAAUAAGUUUAGCUGAUAACUCUGAUUCAUUCUAUGAGUUUCUAAGCAACUAAAAUUAAAUUUAAUAUAAAAAGUGCAAACUUAACUAUAAGUUCCGAUUUGUCUGAAUUUCGGUCUUGUAGGAAAUCUUCAAAAUUUUACUCUUUCAGCUUAUCAUACAGGCAGAAUAAUACUGCUACCAAUCACAUUGUAUCAUACCAUUAGGUGUUGGAAAGGUGAGAUUUUGAGCUUCAUUUAGCCAAAAAAAUUCGAGAAGUUGAAAAAAAGUUGCAGAUGUUCAAAAAUGAGUGAAAAUAAUGAAGAAAUUCGCUAUAUUUUGAAAGUUUUGUAUAAAAAAGAGAAGGAUGCCACACAAGCCACCAAUGAAAUUUAUGAAUUUUACAUAGACGAUGCAGUAUCAGCUCAUGUAGCACAACAAUGGUUCGCUUGCUUUCGUUCGGAAAAUUUCGAUGUGAAAAAUGCACCUCGCUCUUGUCAACCUAUCGUUGAAAAACUCGAUGAAAUUAUGAAAAGGAUUGACCAGGACCGUCACAUAAGCAGCCAUGACAUCGCUAAGGAACUUAACAUUCAUCAUCAAACGGUUUUGAACCAUUUAAAAAAGGCUGGCUACAAAAAGAAGCUCGAUGUUUGGGUACCACAUGAAUUGUCUGUGAAAAAUUUAAUGAACCGAAUUAACAUCUGCGAUCCUUUGCUUCAGAACGAAAUGAACAAUUUCUGAAGCAAAUGGUAACAGGAGACGAAAAGUGGAUCAAAUAUGACAAUGAUGGGGGAAAAAGGACAUGGUCCCAGCGUGAUGAAGCUCAACAAAUGGUCGCAAAGCCAGGAUGGACGCCUUGAAAAGUUGUGCUGAGUGUUUGAUGGGAUUGGAAAGGAAUCAUCCACUAUUAGGUACUUCAGCCUGAUCGAACGAUUAAUUCUACAUUGGACUGUCAACAACUGAUGAGAUUGAAGCAAGCAAUCAAAACAAAUUGCCACAACUGAUCAACAGAAAAGGCUUCGUGUUCCAUCAAAACAAUGCUAGACCACACACAUCUUUGAUGACUCGGCAAAAACUGGGAGAGCUUGGCUGGGAAGUUUUGAUAUAUCCACCACAGAGCUCUGACCUUGCAUCAUCGGACUAUCAUUUAUUUCGGUAAAUGCAGAACUCCCUUAAUGGAGUAAAGUUGGCUUCAAGAGAAGCCUGUAAAAAUUGCUUGUCACAGCUUUUCGCUGAGAAACCAGAAACGUUUUACACUGAUGGAAUAAUGUCUUCAGCGGAAAAAGUGACAAAAAGUGAUCGACCAAAAUGGUAAAUAUUUAGUUUAUUAAAGUUCAUUAUUAAUAUAAAAAAAAUAAGUUGAAGUUUGACUGGAAAUACGAAAAAACUUUCUCGGCUACCCUAUAUACAAGCUCUGUUGUGAUGCCGUUACAUCCUCAAAAAAUCAAUGUUAAGUUCUUUAUGGGAACAGUGAAUGGAGAACAUAGAGUCAUGAAAUAUUACUUUUUCGUACCAGAAUUGCAGAGCAUUGAUGUGGACGAUCUUUGCUUCCAACAAGACGGCGCUACAUGCUAUGCGGCUAACAAAACAAUCAUUUUUUUUUUAAGGAAACUUUUGAUGAACGCAUUAUCUCAUGUAGUGGGCGCUUGAAGUGGCCUCCAAGACUGUGUGAUUUAAUCUCGUUCUCAAGUACUUGUAGUCUUAUUCUCACAAAAUCUAUCUCCAGUGCUAAACUCGAGGCUUUAAACCACUAUGGCGCUUUCACAAAGAUUUCAGCUUAUACACAUAUACAUAUAUGUAUAAUAGACGAAAAAGUUUGGAAAUCUUCUAACGAAAUGUCAUCUGUCUUCAUAUCUAUAUAGAAGUUGAUGAAAGAUAGGUAUCAGUAAUGCGUGCUUAAAGAGUUUCAGCCGGAUCAUACAGAGAAAGAUGCAAGAGAGUCGCACUAAAAAGCUAUACAUUUUCAUAAACAGUCACUUACCUGAUGAGGUGGUGUAUUGCUUCAUGAGACUAUAAGGCUUUAACCUAGAAAGUUAGAUAAUUGUAAAGUUUGCAGCAUUAUAAUCCAGCUCAGUGCCUUGCGUACAAAUUAAUAUAUGUAUGUAUGAACUUUCUAUAUUUAAUCGCAUUGAAUUAAAGAAAGCAAUUAUAAAUGAAAUUAAAUAUACAAUAUUUUUUGUGAAAGCAUAUAAGCAAGCAUAUACAUUAUUUAUGUAUGAUUACGGGCUCUGCCACUACACCCUACCCGCUCACUACCCAAUACUCCUAACCGAAUGCAUUUAAUGUGUAGACAUAUAUAAUAUUAUUUUUAUAUAAAAUGUUUAUUAUUGUGUUGUCGACCGACAUGUAACGCUUCAAAUUAUUUGUACAAGCAUGCUCUCGUACAUGUGUAUGCCCGUAAGUAAGUACAAAUAUAUACAGAUGUAUGUACAUAGUAUUUAUAUCUACGGUAAUGCAGCGUAACACGUUAUGAUAAUCAGCGUAACACAAAUGGAAUGAAACAUUAACGAAAAGCGAAAAGUACGAGAAGAUCUCAAGUCAAAGUGUCAAUCAAAUAAACUGACAGGCACCACAGCACCGCCGCGCAGCCGCCACGCCCUGCCCUCGACAUAACGAAAGGUCGUCGAAAAAAGCCACCAUCGUCGAGGGUUGGCUGAAGGCAGACAAAAGCGCUAUAUCUAAAUGAUAUUGCUCAUAAGGUAGCCGACGCGCUAAAGCCACGCUGGGCGAACCAGCCGCUAGGCAAAGAGCCAGCCGGCCAGUUGGACAGACAAACAAACAAACAAAUGAAAUGAAAUGAACAGUUGGAGCGCGCAGUAGGAGUAUUAGCCUGGUGGUUAAACAAACGCUCAAACUCAGAUGGGGCUUUGUGGUAAUAGAAAUGAGCCAAUCAAACCGUUAGCUGGUUGGAUUGCGCAAAUAAAGCGUUUUUGGCAUACAGCUGUGGAUGCUGUCGUAUAGCAAACAAACAGCUGCGUCAUCCACUCUGGCAAUUCUAAAACUCUAAGCAGAAUGUGAAUAAAGCGCUUUCUCAAAAGCAAGCGGUGUUUUCAAAGUAUUGAAAGCCAAUUUAUAUAAAAUAUUUAUAUUUUUUAAUAAUUUCUGAAAAUUAUAAAAAAUUGUUAAAAAAAAAAAUACAAAAAUUGUUAAAACAAAAUUUUAUAAAAAAUUGUUAAAAAUUUAUAAAAAAAAAUGUUAACAAUUAUUUCGCCAUAAUUAUUUAAUAAAUAGCUUUAAAUGAUUGAUUUUGCAUCAUUUAUCUUUGACAAAAUUCGUUUUGACGCUAAUGAACUUAAAUUACUAGUAAUUUGCUAAUUAAGUAUACUUACAUAAAUAUAUUUAUAUUUUUAUUAGCCAACUUUGUCAACCCUUUUGCGGCGAAUUCGCAAGAUUUCCAUUGCAAAUCUAUGCACUCGAUUUUCAUUCAUUAAAAAUUGCAAAAAUAAACAACAAAAACAUCGAAAGCAUUUAUAAUUAAUUAAUAAUUUACUAAAAGGAGUUUAUGUUAUUUAUAAUAAUUAAUAUGACAAUGCAGUCGCAUGAACAUCCAUAUGUGCAUGUUGCAGCCAAUUUACAUAAUUUUUUGCUUUAAAUGUUAAUUACUGAUCGCUUGUUGUUUAUAUUUGAUUUAUGUGGUAUUUUUGUGUGUCAGUGUGUUUUGCGAAAUCGGAUUUAAUUAUUGUCGGUAAUGGGAGUAUGUAUGCAGAUGUUUUUGCUGUUGUUAUAUUGAGUAAUUGGCAAAUGCCGGGUGUCAGUCGCUUUCAAGUGGUUGGCAGCAAUUUAAAAAUCCAUAACAUUUUGCUGAUUGCUUAGUUAAAUAUUACAGU